rnacentral:rRNA from 1 species
CCCUUAGAUGUUCUGGGCCGCACGCGCGCUACAAUGAUGAAUUCAACGAGUUUAUAACCUUGGUUGAAAAGCCUGGGUAAUCUUUUGAACUUUCGUCGUGAUGGGGCUAGACCCUUGCAAUUAUUGGUCUCCAACGAGGAAUUCCUAGUAAACGCAAGUCAUCAGCUUGCAUUGAUUACGUCCCUGCCCUUUGUGCACACCGCCCGUCGCACCUACCGAUUGAAUGGUCCGGUGAAAUCUUCGGAUUGAGACUUUGAUUUCUUCACGGAAAACGCUGUUUUAAAAAGUUGAUUAAACCUUACCAUUUAGAGGAAGGUGAAGUCGUAACA